UCUUCAGAGUCUGGGGUGGUCGCGCAGAUCCUGGACGAGCCCCCAAAAUGAAAGAUCCCCGAAGAGAGACCCUUUCUAAAGUCGUGGGAAAUCGCGGACCCCAGACACAGAGAGACCA
rnacentral:pre_miRNA from 14 species